CAUUAGCGAGGGUGUCAUGUGACCAGCACAACAACCAUCUGCCUUUACUUUUCUGCAACUAAUGUCAGGUACCCAUAGUAGAGCUGGGUGCACUGAGAGAUGCACUAAAGAUCCAGAAAUUAAAAAAUCCCAGGAUUCGAACCAGGGACCCUUUGGUUUGGAAGCCUAGCUCUUUACCAUUCAGCCACUGUGCCUCCAUUUUAACUCUUAACUAGUAUGUUUUCUGUAAGUAAAACUCUUGCAUCAGAUUUUACAGGGGAUUCUUAUCUUGUAGGCAGUAUCUUUGUAUUGAAGCAGGGCAUUUUGGCAUAAUGGUCAUUUUGGCACAGGACGUUUUGGUGUGAGAUUUUGUAGUCACAUUCUACCUGUUCAUAUUACUUUGUCUUUAAAAAGAAUGAAAAAUAUCUUUGUUUUGUAUUCUAAAGAGUCUUUUUUUUUGUGUAUUAAGAGCAAUAAGUAUUUUGUUCAUUAGAUUUAGGAUUUAAGUUUGUUGUGUAAUUAUAGUUAUGUCACUAACAUUAGAAUGUAUGUAUGGGUUUUAAUAUUGAUGAAAAACAAAAUGAAAAAUAAAUAAAUAAACAUCGAUGCAAUUUGUAGUGCACAUGUAAAUCGUUUAUUUAAUUUAUAGUACCUCCAAGUAAAAAAAAAAGUGUUUUGAACUACUCACCUAAAAUUUAUGGGGGUUAGCGUGUCAAUACCAUAGCCUCAGGUAGGAAUCUGACCUUUCAUAGUUUGUAUAUUUUACAUGAUUCGAAUGUUCCCUCAGAAUUAAAGAUUAUUACAUCCUAGCCCAAACCUCCCACAGGAUUAAAACCGGGGACGGUUGAGACAACAUAUAUCAUGAAUAUACCAGUAGUUUGCAUUAUGCAUUCAUGAAAUAUGUCAAAAUUAUUGAAACUUUUUUGGGAGUGGGGGAUAUGUUUAGUAUUUAUACUGUUGUAUAGUUAAGAGAAAAAAACAUUGUUUAUUAUAAAAAUUUUUGUAAAUUAUCAUCAAAAUCUCUCAUGUCUUAAUGUCUGUGCCAAAAUGUCACCCUAUCCUAUUGUAUAACUCUACCUCCUACAUAAACUCCAUAGAUCGUACUUGAAGUCAUCAAGUACUGCAUGAGAAAAAGCACAGAUUGUGAUCAUUAAUGAUUUCAAAUUGACACCUUUUAAAUGGCAACAUGUAACUAGUCUUCUUAGUUUAAUUCAGUUUAUCUAUCAAAAAGUUUUUUCUAUCACAAAAACUGCUUUUUCUAUUGAAUCCUUAUGAAAACAUCUCCAGGACAUAGGUUUUUAAGAGUUAUCUUGAGAAUAGUGCUAGGUUUUUAAGAGUUAUCUUGAGAAUAGUGCUAGGUUUUUAAGAGUUAUCUUGAGGAUAGUGCUAGGUUUUUAACAGAUAUCUUGAGAAUAGUGCUAGGUUUUUAAGAGUUAUCUUGCAGAUAGUGCUAGGUUUUUAAGAGUUAUCUUGAGGAUAGUGAUAUUUUUUAAAGAGUUAUCUUGAGGAUAGAGGUGUUGGGCCAGAGUGGGAAGUUGACUUUUGAUAAUGAGCAUCUGGAAAAGAUUUCACAUGGUAAUAGAAGUGGCCACGCAGGUCAAGGAUGGGAGAGAACUGCUUGUCUAUUGGGUUGUUGUCAUGUUUGUGAUUUUUAGUUAUUUAGUAUUGACCUGUGUGACUGAAUCAUUACAGUCACUAUCACAUAGUAGUCAUAAGUGUCCCCCAAAUAUUUACCUGUUAGCUUUAAAUUGGCAUGUCUCAACCUGGUCCCUGAAGCCCACCAUUAUAUUAGAGAUGCUUUUGUGUGUGUGUGUGUGUGAUACACAAGCAUACAUUGAUAUCAUGUGACUAGAAAUGUCGGUGAAAUGUCAUAAAUGUAGAUAUGUAAAUGACAAAAAAAA
rnacentral:sRNA from 1 species